rnacentral:rRNA from 1 species
AACGAACGCUGGCGGCAUGCCUAACACAUGCAAGUCGAACGAGACCUUCGGGUCUAGUGGCGCACGGGUGCGUAACGCGUGGGAACCUGCCCUUAGGUUCGGAAUAACUCCCCGAAAGGGGUGCUAAUACCGGAUAAUGUCUUCGGACCAAAGAUUUAUCGCCUUUGGAUGGGCCCGCGUUGGAUUAGCUAGUUGGUAGGGUAAAAGCCUACAAAGGCGACGAUCCAUAGCUGGUCUGAGAGGAUGAUCAGCCACACUGGGACUGAGACACGGCCCAGACUCCUACGGGAGGCAGCAGUGGGGAAUAUUGGACAAUGGGCGAAAGCCUGAUCCAGCAAUGCCGCGUGAGUGAUGAAGGCCUUAGGGUUGUAAAGCUCUUUUACCCGGGAUGAUAAUGACAGUACCGGGAGAAUAAGCUCCGGCUAACUCCGU